ACUGACAGUAUACAUAUACAAAUUACAUGAGAUGUUUUUUGGGUCAUUUUUUUCUAGACUUUUUCUACUUGUACUUUUUAGAGAUAACAUUAGAACCGAAACAGGUAAAAAAGCGUUAAAUGCAUUAAUUAUGUGUAAUGAAGAUGAACAGAAAAGUUACAUACAUACAUAGAGACAACAAAAUAAGAAAGUAAUUGAAAUACAUACAUACUUACAUACAUAUAGAGGCAAGAGAAACGGAUAGAAAGAGAGGAGAGAACGAAAAGUUGCAAGGUUUUAGUUUACGGUAAACUUAAUGAAAUUUUUUAUAAUGUAUUUAUACAUACCUAAAUUUAAAUUUUUAAUUAAUUUUUUAAUGUAAUACGAACACAGUGCCUAAGUAAUAUCAAAAACAAAACAAAAAAGAACAAGAAAAAAACAAAAUACAAAACGAGUAAUAAGCAACAACAAUGCAAGUAAGUGAACACAAAAAUAACUGUCAAGGACAUUGUUACUAAAAACAUACACAUAAAAAUAAUGAUUGAUUGAUUGAAACAUAAAAGGAACGAAACAAAGCAAAACAUUCACAAUGCGACAACAAAAUUUAGCAACAAAUUCAAGCAACUAACUAAGCACAUACGAUACGAUACAUUAACGAUAACGAUAACGAUAACAGCCCGAUUUGCAUAAUUGUAUAAAUGUAACUGACAUAAUUACACUCCUCCCCCCCAAGAAACAAGAGAUGCUAACUAAGCUAAAUAUAAAACAAAAACUAAAUAAAAAUACCAUACUAAUAAAUAUAACAACGUACCCCCUACAUACGUCUCUCGAUCAUACAAAUUAUUAUAUAAAUAUAUACAUACAUAUGUGUAGAAAUUUGACGAUCUUUAAUUGAGUGCAUAAGUUAAUUGAUGUGUUGUCCAAAUUCUACAUAUAUAGACGAUAUAUAUAGAGAACUCUAGGCAUUUCACAUAUGUAGUCUAAAUGACAUCAAUUGCAAGUUGAAUAUUUGAUUUAUUAUUAUUAUUAUAUGAACAACAAUUGGUUCACAUAUUGCAUUGGCACCACAAUAACAACAACAACAAAAACAACUACAAAAAAGAAAAGCAAAGCAAAGCCAAUUGAAAGAUACAGAAGAGAAAUCAAGUAUAUCGAUAAUUUAAUUUCUAUAAAUUCAAGUUCAAAUUUCAAUUGUUUAUUCGUUUACAAAAUAAAAAACAAUUACUAAAAAUACACGAAAUGAAUAACAAAAAAAUUUCUAAUUAUGUUUAAAAAUUAAUGUAGUUUGUAAAAAAAAAAGUUUUAAGCAAAAAGAAAACCAAAAAAAAAAAAAAAAAAAAAAACAAAUACUUUGAAUAUAUAUACAUAAAUUGCAAGUAAAUAGAAUAAAUGUCACUCACUCUUUUUAUUUAACCUGCAUUGAUAAUUCAUUCAUUGGCACCCGAUAUUUGGAAAUUGUUUUCUCGUUUCUUCGCUUUGGGGAAUUCUCUUUAACUCUUUUUUCGAACCUGUUCUUAACAAAACUUAAUAUUCUAAAGGAACGAUAUCCGAAUUCGUGUUUAACAAACUUAUUCUACUCUUGGAUAUAACUUUCAAAAUUUAGUUGUGUUUGAAUAUGUUUCAAAUUAUUUUCCUUCCACUCUUGAGUGCUACGAUGUAUUUUGCGGCCAAUGUCGUGAAACCUGUUCACUUCGGUGGAUGGAUUCUGCUGGGCAUCCAUUUAACAGCGUGUUCUCUAGCUACGGGCUUAGUGUACUACUAUAUGACUGUAUAGUAAAAUUAUUCAGUAAAUUCGCUAGUGGUUCAAUGGAAGGAAAAGCGCUGGAGUGAAUGUAUUUGAAAAAGAUGUAUAUGUUUAUUUUGAAAAUCGUAAAUAAAUUAAUGAACAUUUGAAAGUUAAAAAAUAAACAUA